GCUUACGGCCACACCGCCUGGUUCACGCACGAUCUCGUUUGAUCUCGGAAGAUAAGAUAGGGUGGGCCUGGUUAGUACCUGGAUGGGAGACCGCCUGGGAUUACCAGGUGCUGUAAACU
rnacentral:rRNA from 1 species